GAGUUGGUACCUCCCGCUCUCUUGCACAUUUCGUAUACCUUUUCACGUAUUUUAGCUAGCAUCCAGAGUGUGUUAUAUUCUGUUGUUAUCUAGUUUGAUACAUUUGCGUUUUUCGCUAUAGUGCGUGUGUGUGCUACUAUACCCCAUAUCGGUUGGUGGGAUAGUGGCCGCGGUGGGAGAUGAUAGCGUAAGGUCAUGUCCU
rnacentral:lncRNA from 1 species